rnacentral:ribozyme from 1 species
AAGACAAUAAAAAAGAAAACAAAAAAACUAAUAAACAAAUAAACAAAUAAAUGUGCGUAAGUUACUCGUUGUUGUAACUCUGUUACUUCAUAAUUUU